rnacentral:rRNA from 1 species
AUUGAACGCUGGCGGCAGGCCUAACACAUGCAAGUCGAGCGGAUGAAGGGAGCUUGCUCCUGGAUUCAGCGGCGGACGGGUGAGUAAUGCCUAGGAAUCUGCCUGGUAGUGGGGGAUAACGUCCGGAAACGGGCGCUAAUACCGCAUACGUCCUGAGGGAGAAAGUGGGGGAUCUUCGGACCUCACGCUAUCAGAUGAGCCUAGGUCGGAUUAGCUAGUUGGUGGGGUAAAGGCCUACCAAGGCGACGAUCCGGAACUGGUCUGAGAGGAUGAUCAGUCACACUGGAACUGAGACACGGUCCAGACUCCUACGGGAGGCAGCAGUGGGGAAUAUUGGACAAAGGGCGAAAGCCUGAUCCAGCCAUGCCGCGUGUGUGAAGAAGGUCUUCGGAUUGUAAAGCACUUUAAGUUGGGAGGAAGGGCAGUAAGUUAAUACCUUGCUGUUUUGACGUUACCAACAGAAUAAGCACCGGCUAACUUCGUG